CCCCUGGUGGCUAUGCUGGGAAUCCAGUUCCUUGGGGACCACCUGUACCUCCACCAUAUGCCUCUUACCCGCCUCCUCCUCCUGGCUCAACCAUGUAUUCUCCUGGUCCAGGUCAAUUUGUUCCUCCAUAUGGUGCACAGUAUCCUCCACCAAUGCCACCGCCAUCUUCUGGUGUCCCUGCUCAAACCGUUUCUUCUGGUGAAAACCAACAAAAUUACAGCUCUUCUGGCGAGACACAACAAAGUUAUCCUCCCGGAGUGCAAUCACAUAAUAGUGCACCUGUUCAAUCUCUUCCCACCUAUGCCUAUGGCAAUUCUGUCACUGCAAUGCCACACAAUGCCCAACCUGCAUACCCAACAUCUUCAUACAGCUAUCCUUCUUAUUAUGGCAUGGCACCACCACCUCCUCCAACUGCGUCACAGUCCAAUGUGGAUCAUUCACAGAGUAUGAGCAAUGUUCCCUGGGCCUCAAAUCCACCAGAACCUGCACCUGCCCCUCCGCCUCCGCCUCCACCAUCAUCUUCUGAGAAACCUCCCUAUGGUACAGAUGCAGAAUACGAAAAGUUCAUGGCAGAGAUGAAAUGAUGAUUGCAGU
rnacentral:lncRNA from 1 species